rnacentral:rRNA from 1 species
CGGGGUGAGUAACGCGUGGGUAACCUGCCUUAUACAGGGGGAUAACAGUCAGAAAUGGCUGCUAAUACCGCAUAAGCGCACAGAGCUGCAUGGCUCAGUGUGAAAAACUCCGGUGGUAUAAGAUGGACCCGCGUUGGAUUAGCUAGUUGGCGGGGUAACGGCCCACCAAGGCGACGAUCCAUAGCCGGCCUGAGAGGGUGAACGGCCACAUUGGGACUGAGACACGGCCCAG